rnacentral:rRNA from 1 species
CCUACGGGAGGCAGCAGUGAGGAAUAUUGGUCAAUGGGCGAGAGCCUGAACCAGCCAAGUCGCGUGAAGGAUGACGGCCCUACGGGUUGUAAACUUCUUUUGUCAGGGAGCAAUUGAGUCCACGUGUGGGCUUAGCGAGAGUACCUGAAGAAAAAGCAUCGGCUAACUCCGUGCCAGCAGCCGCGGUAAAACGGAGGAUGCGAGCGUUAUCCGGAUUUAUUGGGUUUAAAGGGUGCUGAGGCGGAAUAUCAAGUCAGCGGAAAAAAUUCGGGGAUCAAGCCGGUCGUGCCGUUGAUAGUGGUGUUCUUGAGGAGACGAGAAGGAUGGGGAAUGCGGGGUAUAGCGGUGAAGUGCAUAGA